UCCGGGUUGCCUGGCGUCUGAGGGAACCCGCGUGUGUGUGCCACCGCCAGAGUUUCCGUGGUGCUGACCUGGUGCUGAGUUCCGUGCUAGGGCGACGCUGACUAGGUGCUGGCGGCUCACCUCGUACCUACCGUGUUUGUGUGUGAGGGUAAUCUUGGCGCCCACGUGUCCCGGCUUGAAGCUUUUGAGUGGGCCAAGUCACCUAACCUAACCUACCUGUGUGUGCGUGUGUUUGCGUGUGUGUUUGAGUGCGUGCGUGCGUGUGUGUGUGUGUGGUGUGGAAACUGACCCAUCGCCACCACUGUCACCCGCUGCUGACCUUGGUGCUGUGGUGUGCUGAGCGGGAGUGUGUGGUCAGCGAGGAGGCAAUCACAUCAGCUGACUGGCUAACCAUUGAAUGAGUGACUGGCUGUUUCCUCCUCCUCCGCCCACCGCCUCCUCGUCCGGCACUUCGUUAUCUACAGGUUCUCCUGGCCACCACCGGCAGGGACGUUGCCAUGUAGCUGUGGUCAAGGAGGCCCACGGGUCGUGCCGGAACUAGGUGCAGCUGUGCCUGGAGGGUUGCCAUGAUGGCACCACCUUUCACCGUGUCGUGCUGGGCUUCAUCCACCCGACAGGAACGGACAGCAGCGGAGAAGCCGUCAAGGGGAAGCCCUUCAAGGAAGAGUUCCACACACAGCUGUGGCUCGGCCUGCUGGCAAUGGCCCCAGCGACAAUCGUUCUUUUUGGCGCUGGGCCAGACUCGAGAGCUGCAGGACAAACACACACACACACCGUCACGGCCAACACUCUCCACACGCCUGGAGGAGGGAGGCAUUGGUGAGGUGCCGGCCAGCAGCGGACAGUGACAGCGCCAGGAGUUCAGGAACCAAGACCUUACCAGCAGCAGCAAAGGCAGGAUGACCCAGGACUCACUUUCCCCAGGACCAAGCAUAGUAGUAGUAGUAGUAGUAGUAGUUAGUAGUAGUAGUGGUAGUAGGUGGAGUAGUGUGCAUGAUUCCUACCAUCCAAAACUUCAUCCUCUCUUCACAUUUUCCUUCCCCUUCAUGUUUUCCCUUGUGUCUCCUCUCUGUCAUCAUCCUCCUGCCCUUCAUCCUCCCUUCAUGUCUUCCCUUGUGUGUCCUCUCUGUCAUCAUCCUCCCUUCAUGUCUUCCCUUGUGUCUCCUCUCUGUCAUCAUCCUCCCUUCAUGUCUUCCCUUGUGUCUCCUCUCUGUCAUCAUCCUCCUGCC